rnacentral:lncRNA from 1 species
CUUAAAAUGUCACCUGAUGUUAGUUGUCCCUCACUGAUUCAAGUAAUUUCCAUUAUUCAGGUGGACCUGGCUGUUGGUGGAGAUCCCUAGACUGCAUGGGGCCAUGGGCAUGAUCUGGAGACACAGUAGAGGCAAGGUCUUUGUUGCUCAGGAUGGAGUGUAGUGGUGCCAUAGCUCACUGUAACCUUGAAUUUCUGGGCUACUGGCAUACACCACCAUGCUUGGAUUCAGGCCACAACACCCCUGAGUUUACCGGU